GAUGAACGCUGGCGGCGUGCUUAACACAUGCAAGUCGAACGAGAAGUGAAGACGGAAACCUUCGGGCGGAAGGCUUUAUUUCGAGUGGCGGACGGGUGAGUAACGCGUGGGUAACCUGCCUCAUACAGGGGGAUAACAGUUGGAAACGACUGUUAAUACCGCAUAAGACCACAGCACCGCAUGGUGCGGGGGUAAAAACUCCGGUGGUAUGAGAUGGACCCGCGUUCGAUUAGCCAGUUGGCGGGGUAACGGCCCACCAAAGCGACGAUCGAUAGCCGAUCUGAGAGGAUGACCGGCCACAGUGGGACUGAGACACGGCCCAAACUCCUACGGGAGGCAGCAGUGGGGAAUAUUGCAAAAUGGGGGAAACCCUGAUGCAGCGACGCCGCGUGAGUGAAGAAGUAUUUCGGUAUGUAAAGCUCUAUAAGCAGGGAAGAAAAUGACGGUACCUGAGGAAGAAGCCCCGGCUAACUACGUG
rnacentral:rRNA from 1 species